AGCAGAAAAAAAAAAAAAGUGAAGCAACAAAUAAAAGAGGCAGACAAUGCAAGACAACAUGGGGAGAUGCAGAGGCAAAUUUUUAGACUUUUGAGCAUGUUAGCACAACUUUUCAAAAAUGGUGGCCACCAAAUUCCCCACCAUAGCUAGCCAUGGUAAUGGAUGGAUGAACUCGUGCACAAAGCUGAAUUGUAUAGGACUAGUUGGCACUUGUUAUAUUUUUUGAAAGAGUAUAUAUUUUUGGAUAGAUGUGUAUGGAAAAUAUUUGGGUAGACUAGUAGUUAUAUUUUUAGAUGAAUGUGUAUCGAAAAUAUUUGGGUAGACUACUAGUUGUAUUUUUUGAUAGAUGCGCAUGGAUAAAAAUUGAAAACAUAAUAGUAGGUAUUUGUUAUUUUUUAAUUUUUCAUGCUAGAUAGAUGUGAAUGGAAUGAUUAUAUAGAUUGUUAGCGGAUUUAUAAUUGGAGGAAUAUGUAGUUUGGAAUUACUUCUGGAUGACAACUUAUAAUAGUUGAUGAUUUCAAUGAAACAGAUUCAGGAUUGGAUGA